AUGUUCCAGUUCUCGUUCGAUCACCGAAGUUAAGCAUCAUAGAUCUAGGUCAGUACUUAGAUGGGGGACCGCUUUUGAACACCUGGAACUGUAAG